rnacentral:rRNA from 1 species
UACGUAGGGUGCAAGCGUUAAUCGGAAUUACUGGGCGUAAAGCGUGCGCAGGCGGCUAUGCAAGACAGAUGUGAAAUCCCCGGGCUCAACCUGGGAACUGCAUUUGUGACUGCAUGGCUAGAGUACGGUAGAGGGGGAUGGAAUUCCGCGUGUAGCAGUGAAAUGCGUAGAUAUGCGGAGGAACACCGAUGGCGAAGGCAAUCCCCUGGACCUGUACUGAC